AGGGUAUGGUUUCUAGAUUCAGCCAACUGCAACAAAAGGAUGAUCCGAGCAGGGUGCAGAGCCCCCCUCUCCUGCCCCAUGGCACUUCUGCAGGGAAAUUGACAUUGUAGUAUGCCAAAGGAGGGGCAGUAGCUGGAAUUUCCAGCUGUAACAGAAAAGUAACUGAAAAGAACAGGAGCAACUACAACCCCAUUUUGAACUGUGGGAAUCAUCUUUAGUUUACCAGGUAUUUCCGUGUCUUCACUCCUAGCACCAUCUGCUCUUCCUUACACUGUGUUGAUUGAAUGAUGGUCUAGAACAAGGAAUAGUUGUCCAGGAUUACACUCAGAAGAUAUCUAUUGGUGUGACUGUUUCUCAAAUGUUGGUUUUCUAUGUCUCUGAGGCACAACAUAUGUCAAGACAGACUUUUUAUAUACUGAAAUAUCUGAAAAUAAAAUAUCUGAAUAUUUGAAAAUAACAUUAACAACAACAACAAUAAUAACAACAGCAGUGGGAAUAAUAACAUUAUCAUUAAUAAUAUUAAUAACUGUUAAGAAUAAGAAUAAAGCAUUACCCUGAAAAAUCACAAUAUAUCUUGGGUUCUUUCUGUUUCCUUUUUGGGUUUUUGACCCUUUUAAGUCUCAUUAUUUUCCAUCUUUUCCCCAUAGUUAUAAGUUUUAUUUCUUUAAUGAAAACUAAGGGGUCUGCCUUCGGUCUGACACCAUUUAAUAUCUUUAUUAAUGACUUGGAGGAAAGACCUUUCAUCACCAAAAAGUUAUAGACCAAUUUCCUUCUUCAGCCUCACUUACAAACUACAAAUGUCUUAUCCUGCAACCAGGUAUCCAGGUUGUAG